rnacentral:lncRNA from 1 species
GUGUGUGUGACUGUGUGGGGGACGUGAGUGCUCGGGGCAGGGUGCCGGGAGUGAGCGGGAGCAGGCAUGCGGGUGCACACGUGUGCAUGGAGGCAGGUGUGUCCGUGUGGGUGUGCUCCGAGUGCUGUGCACGGCGGGGACGCUGGGCGUGAGCAGGGAUGUGUGUGCUCCUGCUGUGAUGCGGGGCAGCACGCCCACCUGGCUGAGCGCUCACUUUGGACCGGGCGUUGCACUGGGCACUAGCGGAAACGGCCCUGACCCCCAGCGAGCGGUUGCCGGUGAAGACAGACACUGGUCAGGUGCCGCCUGGCCUGGAGGCGUCGGAGCCGCGCGCUGCCGAGGAGGCCCAACGCCAGGCAGAGCCGAGCCUCGUGGGCCCUCCGCCCCGGGGCCGGGUGCGCGGAGCCGGCGCGG